rnacentral:lncRNA from 1 species
GCAGGACCUGCAAGAAAAGUCCUUGACCGGAGUUGGCUCUAGUGGAGAUCUUCCGACACUCAAGUCAGAUCAUUGGUACAGAUGAGAAGGAGUGAGCAUGUUGGAAGAAAGAUUUUUGUAUACCUUGGGGAUCUCUUGUAAGCCUUUAUUUAUAAGCAGAGGCUGAAGAGCCAUGAGAAGAAAGAAGAAACAGAUAAUUAACCUUGACUUAUUGGGUGA